GAAGCCUUUCGGGGUGGAUUAGUGGCGAACGGGUGAGUAACACGUGGGCAAUCUGCCCUUCACUCUGGGACAAGCCCUGGAAACGGGGUCUAAUACCGGAUAAUACUUCUGCCUGCAUGGGUGGGGGUUGAAAGCUCCGGCGGUGAAGGAUGAGCCCGCGGCCUAUCAGCUUGUUGGUGGGGUAAUGGCCUACCAAGGCGACGACGGGUAGCCGGCCUGAGAGGGCGACCGGCCACACUGGGACUGAGACACGGCCCAGACUCCUACGGGAGGCAGCAGUGGGGAAUAUUGCACAAUGGGCGAAAGCCUGAUGCAGCGACGCCGCGUGAGGGAUGACGGCCUUCGGGUUGUAAACCUCUUUCAGCAGGGAAGAAGCGCAAGUGACGGUACCUGCAGAAGAAGCGCCGGCUAACUACGUGCCAGCAGCCGCGGUAAUACGUAGGGCGCAAGCGUUGUCCGGAAUUAUUGGGCGUAAAGAGCUCGUAGGCGGCUUGUCACGUCGGAUGUGAAAGCCCGGGGCUUAACCCCGGGUCUGCAUUCGAUACGGGCUAGCUAGAGUGUGGUAGGGGAGAUCGGAAUUCCUGGUGUAGCGGUGAAAUGCGCAGAUAUCAGGAGGAACACCGGUGGCGAAGGCGGAUCUCUGGGCCAUUACUGACGCUGAGGAGCGAAAGCGUGGGGAGCGAACAGGAUUAGAUACCCUGGUAGUCCACGCCGUAAACGUUGGGAACUAGGUGUUGGCGACAUUCCACGUCGUCGGUGC
rnacentral:rRNA from 1 species